rnacentral:misc_RNA from 1 species
CUCUCUGUGCCGACGCCCGGGAAUACGGCAAUCCACGUGUCAUUUCCAGCAAGCGCAGCCCCGAGCUUCAAUGUCACACUCGACAACAAUGGCGUUGUGAAUAAUAAAUUUAGCGCGCACCUGUAUCAAGGUUUACAACCGUUAAGAAUUGUCCUACCGCUAAAACAAAGAGGGAAGAAGACCGGUUGAAAAUGGCGUGGAGUCUCAUUUGCAUAAAGGCCCAGAAAUAGCUAAAUGUAUGAGCUCUGAAACCUGAAAACCUGUUCGCUGCUGACACUUUUGAAGUGAGACUUUUAUAUAUUCUAGAGGAAAGGACAACAAGUGUAUUCUGCAACAAUGUUUAUCGAAACGCUGGAGUUCACUAUUCCAAUAGAUCUGUGUGACCUAUUUUCCACUUUGAAGAAGGGGCCAAGAUCAAAUCUUGAAUUCCCAGCGUCAGUGAACUCAUAUGGUACAACGCAAGACGCCAGCAUUCAGGUGGCGUUAAGAUCAAAUAAAUUGACGUUCAAAGUGGACGGUGUGUCGUCUGAUGCAAGUAUGAUAUCUAAGAGUGAGUGUAAAACAUUAAAACUGUCCAUAUUUGAUGUGGAUCGCACACUAAUGCCUCAGGAAAGUUACUAUCAUGAAGAACCCACACAUUCAGUUUCUAUGUCGUUUCCUGCCAAAAGAUCACGAGACUUUUCUGCUCCAGUGAAAUCACCUCCAUCAAAGAGCAGUAGAACUACUUAUUCAGAAUCCCCAAGGGGAAAUACACCAGUUCAGUAUCAUCAUCAGAAUAAUUCUCGUACCUCAGAACAGUCGCAUUCUAGACCUUCAAGUGACUCUCGUGUUAAUGUGAAACAAGAACCAGAAGAUCCAGAUUUAAUAGAAAUAGAACCAGACCCUGAACCUGACGACAUUGUGCCAAAGAAAGAGACGCCAUACAUGCAAAUAGAUUAUUCAUCCGAUGUACCUCAUACACAAACGUCCCAAGCAGCUUUAGAUCGACUCUCUCAUCCACAAUCAUCACAUUCUCAAUCACCCGGUUCUUCAUCAUCGUCCUUCCAUCAAAACGUUCCACAUGUGCCAGAUUACGCCGAACCCAGUACUAGUCAAGUUCAUCAUGGUGACCAAAGUGCAGAUGACUUUUUUAGUAUUCCAAGAACAAGACGAUAACGACUGUGAUAACGACAAUGAUGCAGAUUUUGACAAUGAAGGUGUCCAUUGUUCUCGACGAUUUCUUGAACACCAGGAGGGGUCAGGAAAGACUGAAUAUUCUCACUGGCCACAACAAGGAAGUCUGAAGUUCCGUCGUUGUUUGCUACCUGAACCAAUAGGAUCGAGGUUCCCUUGUCCAGAUUGCAAUAAAAUGUUUGCAAGCGCAGGGUCAAGGUCAAAUCAUAUAACAGCUAUUCAUGCCAAACAGACUUUCUCUUGUGUUUGUGGCAAGUCCUAUCCUUACAGUCAGAAUUUACUGAGGCAUAAGCGAUCAUGUGCUGUGUGCUUGGUGGAUCAGUCGGCGUAGACAUUGAUGUCUAAUAUAUUGACAUGCUGCUGCUUGUAUUGUGACAGUACCUGUUACCUUGAGGUGGAGCAAAGGAUUCAUCUUUACCUGGCUUUCUUCCUCCAUAUGGCAUUAUCUGCCUCCCUUAUGAGCAGCUUAUAAUUGAGGGGCAGUAACCUAUGCUCAAACAGAUAUGUUCACAAUGUUCGGUCGAGACAACGUGAAGAUUCAGACCAGGCUUGUCAGUCCUGGAAGAAACAACACAAUUUUAGUUCUCCAUUACAAGAAAGUCCUAACCCACCAAGCGGAGUGUUUCCAUGCCCUCAUUGUGACAAAGUGUUUUUAGGCUACGGUGCCCGAUGGAGCCACAUUGCUGCUAUUCACCAGAAACUAGUUUACAUUUGUGUCUGUGGCAAGAAGUACCCAUACAGCCAGAGCCUGCAGAGACACAGACGAAAAUGUUCAAUGUACAUGUCGCAGCUUUCUGAUGAGAUGUAGUGGUACUGAUUUGAAGGUGUUCUUGUGUCUGUUCUGUAUGGGAAGCACCCUAUGUUCCAGUGUGUUCUUUUGUGGCUGAUUCUUAAGGUGUUGUCUUUUGAUGUCCUCUAAAUAUUUGAAAUGGACAGAUUGUUUUCUUCCAACUGGCUCCUGAUUUUGUCUUGCUGUAGAUGAACAUAGUAUUUGGUCUCUCUAAAGAUCAGUUUCUCAAAAG